rnacentral:rRNA from 1 species
UACGAAGGGGGCUAGCGUUGUUCGGAAUUACUGGCGUAAAGCGCACGUAGGCGGAUUGUUAAGUCAGGGGUGAAAUCCCGGGGCUCAACCCCCGGAACUGCCUUUGAUACUGGCAUUCUCGAGUCCGGAAGAGGUGAGUGGAAUUCCGAGUGUAGAGGUGAAAUUCGUAGAUAUUCGGAGGAACACCAGUGGCGAAGGCGGCUCACUGGUCCGGAACUGACGCUGAGGUGCGAAAGCGUGGGGAGCAAACAGG